GACAGAGGGGGCAAGCGUUGCUCGGAAUCACUGGGCGUAAAGGGCGCGUAGGCGGGACGCCAAGUCGGUCGUGAAAUCUCCGGGCUCAACCCGGAGGAGUCGGCCGAAACUGGUGUUCUUGAGGGAGGCAGAGGAGUCUGGAAUUCCCGGUGUAGCGGUGAAAUGUGUAGAGAUCGGGAGGAACACCGGUGGCGAAGGCGGGACUCUGGGCCUACCCUGACGCUGAGGCGCGAAGGCGUGGGGAGCAAAGCGGU
rnacentral:rRNA from 1 species